rnacentral:misc_RNA from 1 species
AGAACCUUGACUUGAUGAGCUAACUGCACUUGAAAGGCUUACUCUAAAAUUAUCCAUUCCUAUUCCCUUCAUCUGACCAUGCAUGCUAUCUGAACCUCCAGAAGAUAUGGAAUGAACAGAAGCGCUAGCAGAAUCUGAAGGGAAAAAACCCUUAGGAGGUACAGCAUACAUAAUUACAUCAGCAAAUGCCUUAUCUAGCCCGUUUUUUGGAGGACUUUCAUAUGGACUAUGAAGGCGAAGCUGAUCACCGCCAUCCUUCUGCAAGCUGUCACCACUACUAAAUGGAGAAUGCAGAGGAGAGCUUCUUCGUGUGUAAGUUCUAGGACUAGUAGCACCGGAAGAAAUUCCAUCGCUCCUUGAUUCUGUUCUCCAUUUU